rnacentral:lncRNA from 1 species
UUCGGAUCUAAUUAAGUUUUGGUCUUUUGAGAGAUUUUCUUUGUACUCCGCCUUCUUUUCGAUAUUAAUAAAUUAUUUGCUCCGUCUUCGCCCGUGGACGUAGGCCGUUGGCCGAACCACGUAAAUAUCGGUGUGUUCUUUCCUUAUUUUUUCUUUUCUUGCAUUAAAUUAUUUUCUGGAUCUAUUUUUCGCCGUUCCGAUUUUAACAAAUUGGUAUCAGAGCCUUUCUAUUCCCUUUGAGGAUUAAGAUGACGACGAAGUUCGAGAUUCAGAAAUUUGACAGGACUAACAGUUUCGCAUUAUGGCAAGUCAAGAUGCGUGCAGUAUUGACGCAGCAAGGAUUGCAGAAGGCACUGUUGGGAAAAGAAAAGAUG